rnacentral:lncRNA from 1 species
AACCUUUGCUUUCACUUCUAUUUUUCCAAAUCAUUUUUGUGAGCAAAUUAAAAAAAAUUAUAGAGGAAAUUGAAUGAAAAAAUAAUAUGCGUUUGACAUGGGUAAAGCAACACGUGUUGUGGAUGAAUGGGGAUGGAAAAAUUCUAGUUACGUAUUCGAAUCUAGCAUGGAGGAGAGAGAGGAAGAGGAAGAGGAAGAGUAAGUAAAAGAAGAGUUUUCAUUACUAGGACUUUGAUUGAGAGGAAAAGAUAUAAUAUAAGAGGGGUAAAAAUAUCAAUUUACUUCAUUGACUAACCAAGGUUAAGUAUUUUAUCUAUGGUUAACUAAAAUUUUCUAACAGCUUCUAACGAGGUAGGGGUAUAUUUAAAAAUAUUAAAAUUUUUAUAGGGAUAAUAUAAUAAAAUUAAACUUUGUGGGAAUAUAUUUGCUAUUCGCUAUGUUUACAAAGAGCCGUAUACAAUUAACCCUAUUUUCAAAAGUUCUAAGUUUUAUGAUUGUGCUAUCGGCUUUUC